rnacentral:rRNA from 1 species
GUAGGUGGCAAGCGUUGUCCGGAAUUAUCGGGCGUAAAGCGCGCGCAGGUGGUUCUUUAAGUCUGAUGUGAAAGCCCCCGGCUCAACCGGGGAGGGUCAUUGGAAACUGGGGAACUUGAGUGCAGGAGAGGAAAGUGGAAUUCCACGUGUAGCGGUGAAAUGCGUAGAUAUGUGGAGGAACACCAGUGGCGAAGGCGACUUUCUGGCCUGUAACUGACACUGAGGCGCGAAAGCGUGGGGAGCAAACAGGGAUUAGAUACCCUGGUAGUCCACGCCGUAAACGAUGAGUGCUAAGUGUUGGGGGGGUUUCCCGCCCCUCAGUGCUGCAGCUAACGCAUUAAGCACUCCGCCUGGGGAGUACGGUCGCAAGACUG